AGAGUUUGAUCCUGGCUCAGGAUGAACGCUAGCGACAGGCCUAACACAUGCAAGUCGAGGGGCAGCGGGGAGGUAGCAAUACCUUUGCCGGCGACCGGCGCACGGGUGAGUAACACGUAUGCAAUCCACCUGUAACAGGGGGAUAACCCGGAGAAAUCCGGACUAAUACCCCAUAAUAUGGGCGCUCCGCAUGGAGAGCCCAUUAAAGAGAGCAAUCUUGGUUACAGACGAGCAUGCGCUCCAUUAGCCAGUUGGCGGGGUAACGGCCCACCAAAGCGACGAUGGAUAGGGGUUCUGAGAGGAAGGUCCCCCACAUUGGAACUGAGACACGGUCCAAACUCCUACGGGAGGCAGCAGUGAGGAAUAUUGGUCAAUGGACGAGAGUCUGAACCAGCCAAGUAGCGUGAAGGAUGAAGGUCCUACGGAUUGUAAACUUCUUUUAUAAGGGAAUAAAACCUCCCACGUGUGGGAGCUUGUAUGUACCUUAUGAAUAAGCAUCGGCUAACUCCGUGCCAGCAGCCGCGGUAAUACGGAGGAUGCGAGCGUUAUCCGGAUUUAUUGGGUUUAAAGGGUGCGUAGGCGGCACGCCAAGUCAGCGGUGAAAUUUCCGGGCUCAACCCGGACUGUGCCGUUGAAACUGGCGAGCUAGAGUGCACAAGAGGCAGGCGGAAUGCGUGGUGUAGCGGUGAAAUGCAUAGAUAUCACGCAGAACCCCGAUUGCGAAGGCAGCCUGCUAGGGUGCGACAGACGCUGAGGCACGAAAGCGUGGGUAUCGAACAGGAUUAGAUACCCUGGUAGUCCACGCAGUAAACGAUGAAUACUAACUGUUUGCGAUACAAUGUAAGCGGUACAGCGAAAGCGUUAAGUAUUCCACCUGGGGAGUACGCCGGCAACGGUGAAACUCAAAGGAAUUGACGGGGGCCCG
rnacentral:rRNA from 1 species